GUACACGCUGUGACUAGCAUAUCAAUAAGCGGAGGAAAAGAAACUAACAAGGAUUCCCCUAGUAACGGCGAGUGAAGCGGGAAGAGCUCAAAUUUGAAAUCUUAAAGGGUUUCCCUUUACGAAUUGUAGUUUAAAGAAGUGUUUUCUGUUGAGGUUUUGGUAAAAGUUCUUUGGAAUAGGACAUCAUAGAGGGUGAGAAUCCCGUAUUUGACCUUUACUUUCAACUUUGUGAUACACUUUCAAAGAGUCGGAUUGUUUGGGAAUGCAGUCCAAAAUGGGUGGUAAAUUUCAUCUAAAGCUAAAUAUUGGCGAGAGACCGAUAGCGAACAAGUACCGUGAGGGAAAGAUGAAAAGAACUUUGAAAAGAGAGUUAAACAGUACGUGAAAUUGUCAAAAGGGAAGCGUUUGACACCAGUGUUGUUUUUCUGAAAAUCAAUUAAAGAACUGUUUAUGCUAAGUUGUUUAGACUCUAUCAGCUAACUGUUUAGUUUUGAGCUUUUCUUUAAUGCACUUUUCAGUUAACAAGUCAACAUCAAUUUCUUUUGCUGUAAAAAAGCUUGAGGAAGGUGGCUUGAGAUUCGUCUUAAGUGUUUAUAGCCUCUUGCCUAUGCAGUCGGAGAGAUUGAGGUCUGCAGCGUAGAUCCUUCGGGGCUAAAUGCAUUUGUGCUAAGUUAUAGCAUUUUAUAGACAACUUGUUGACUAUGAUUUGUCUUGUAGCUUACUCGCUUAUGUUAUUUUACCUACGCUUAGGAUGUUGACGAGACUGUCGAUCUCAUCUAUACAUGACUCUGUGCAUAUCAAUAAGCGGAGGAAAAGGGAAUCGGUCGCCCCAGUACCUACGCUUAGGAUGUUGACGAGACUGUCGAUCUC
rnacentral:rRNA from 1 species